AGCAGAAGCAUUACCACCUUGUAACUCAAUCUUGUCAAGUCUCAGAAGCUAAGCAAGGCUGCGUCUGGUCUGUACUAGAAUGGGAGACCUCCAAGGAAAUCAGGUCGCUUCUGCUC
rnacentral:rRNA from 1 species